GACGAACGCUGGCGGCGUGCUUAACACAUGCAAGUCGAACGAUGAAACCGGAGCUUGCUCCGGUGGAUUAGUGGCGAACGGGUGAGUAACACGUGAGUAACCUGCCCUUGACUCUGGGAUAACUGCGGGAAACUGUAGCUAAUACCGGAUACGACCCUCGGAGGCAUCUCCUGGGGGUGGAAAGAAUUUCGGUCAAGGAUGGACUCGCGGCCUAUCAGCUAGUUGGUGAGGUAACGGCUCACCAAGGCGACGACGGGUAGCCGGCCUGAGAGGGUGACCGGCCACACUGGGACUGAGACACGGCCCAGACUCCUCCGGGAGGCAGCAGUGGGGAAUAUUACACAAUGGGCGCAAGCCUGAUGCAGCAACGCCGCGUGAGGGAUGACGGCCUUCGGGUUGUAAACCUCUUUUAGUAGGGAAGAAGCGAAAGUGACGGUACCUGCAGAAAAAGCACCGGCUAACUACGUGCCAGCAGCCGCCGUAA
rnacentral:rRNA from 1 species